CCCCCAAGGCUGGAUCUGAAAUUCCUCCUGAGGGAGCUCACCAGUCACUGACCUGAAGCAAGGUGCCAUUCUGGAGGGGGGAAAAAAAUCACCAUCUUCUUCUCUACCUCUUUUCACUCAAUAUACUAAAGGCAUUUUGCCUUGCCUACUCCUCCUGAGAAGAGGUUGAUGUACUCACUAUCAGGAUUGUGGUCGCGGGUACUCUGUGUGAGAAACAUUCCCCUGCAGCUCUGAGCCACAGCAUUGUCAGAAAGAGGAAUUAAGACUUCUACCAUCCUGAAAUCUUUCUGCAUCCUGGUUCAGAUGAAAACAUCUUCCAGAAGAGGCGAGAUACAAAGUCUAAUUUCAAAUUUUGAAAUUUCGAGGCAGGAAGUGUCUUGUAUUUUAUUGCGACACACUGUUGUGUCUAACAGAGAGGAAUCCCAAACCUUGCCUGCGAUCACUGCACUAAGGAGAUAUUAAUGGUUUUCUGUGUAAGACACAGAUACACAGACAUAUGAACAUAGAAUCUGAAGAAAGAAAAAGGCUAUCAUUCAGAUGUGGAUGUGUUGCAGUGAUGCUUGGAUAUAACAAACAGGAGAUGACUCAAGGGAACAUCAAAGUUUCUGAAAGUAAGUGGGUUAGACAUCAAGUCAAAUGUCUUCUUCAAUCUGGAGAUGAAAGACUGGAUGAAAUACAACUUCAUAACUGAGGCUGUUUUUACCCUGAAACCCAUGGAUGUUUAUUGAUACAUAUUAAAAAAAAAACAAACCUAAACAAAAACAACAACAACAACAAAUAUUCACGUAGUGAUGCCUUUGUGGGACCAAACUAAGGUAGCUAAAUGAAUGAAACAGCACUAUCUCUGUACUGA